CCUACGGGGGGCAGCAGUGGGGAAUAUUGGACAAUGGGGGCAACCCUGAUCCAGCCAUGCCGCGUGUGUGAAGAAGGCCCUCGGGUUGUAAAGCACUUUCAGUGAGGAAGAACGCCUGGUGGUUAAUACCCAUCAGGAAAGACAUCACUCACAGAAGAAGCACCGGCUAACUCCGUGCCAGCAGCCGCGGUAAUACGGAGGGUGCGAGCGUUAAUCGGAAUUACUGGGCGUAAAGCGCCCGUAGGUGGCUUGAUAAGCCGGUUGUGAAAGCCCCGGGCUUAACCUGGGAACGGCAUCCGGAACUGUCAAGCUAGAGUGCAGGAGAGGAAGGUAGAAUUCCCGGUGUAGCGGUGAAAUGCGUAGAGAUCGGGAGGAAUACCAGUGGCGAAGGCGGCCUUCUGGACUGACACUGACACUGAGGUGCGAAAGCGUGGGUAGCAAACAGGAUUAGAUACCCUUGUAGUC
rnacentral:rRNA from 1 species